UGGACGUCGAUCUGUUUCAAAAGAGGGAGAAAUGUCCAGUGCAGGUCCACGACCAGUCGAAACUUUCCGGUGGACCACAGAAACGUCUUUGUGGAUUCCACCCUCCUAAAGUGUUCAUUUCAGACUUUCAGGUCGUAAGUGUUCCACCUGCUGCAAGUGUUCCACCUGCUUUACUCCACUCCUACUGCUGUAGCG